GGGAGUAUGGCACAGCGGCAACUGCAGGAGACUGUAAAUCUCCCGCCUUCGGGCUUCAUUGGUUCGAGUCCAAUUGCUCCC
rnacentral:tRNA from 1 species